rnacentral:lncRNA from 1 species
UCACUUAUUUUGAUUUGAAAACAAGCCCUAUGUGAUAUAAUCACUUAUUGAUGAGGAACUUGAUUUUCGUAUGCAUGAGGGCACAGGUGCAAGUCCGUGAACAGGUCAGUACUUCCGUACAGCAGAGAGACGAACUUGACACCCGGAUAAAUGUGAUAUUUUAUCACUUAUUUGAUUUGGACAUGUGAUUGUUUAUCACUUAUUGAGGUCGAAUGCAGUAUGCAAUAUGUACACGUAUGUAUAGUAUCAUGGAAGAUCUAGACUUGCGUCCCCGUUAUUUUUCGGUAAAAGAUACAACCAUGAUACCCAGAUGAUAAGCAGCAUAAAGACCGAAUAUCUCAGAACCUCGGCAAUCUAUCAAACGAAAUUUCGGUACUAAGACCAUAUGCCAAUGAAUGGUUCCCACCUGGUCUUCAGUCGAUUAAGAUUUAUAUCACCCUGCACACUUUAAAAUGAUUGUGAGCCUACCGAUACAUCUUAUAUAGAGCUGCUUAUCGUUUUUCAUUUAAGGUUUAAAGAGGUUUGGAUAGACCACUGAUGUACUAUCAUUUUCUCUUUUGCUCGCCAGGAAACUCAUUUUUGUUUAAAGAGGUUUGGAUAGACCACUGAUGUACUAUCAUUUUCUCUUUUGCUCGCCAGGAAACUCAUUUUUGAUUUUCUAUUGUUUUUGUGUUUUUGAAAUUUUUCGAUGUUUUUGGAUUUUCAGAUUUUUGGAUUUACUCC